AGAGUUUGAUCCUGGCUCAGAACGAACGCUGGCGGCAUGCUUAAUACAUGCAAGUCGAACGAGAAAGUCACUUCGGUGGCGAGUAGAGUGGCGCACGGGUGAGUAACACGUAGGUGAUCUACCCUUUAGUUUGGGAUAACAAGAAGAAAUUCUUGCUAAUACUGGAUAAGCUUAGCAACUUUGGAAGGAGCUAAGGAAAGAUGGCCUCUGUAUAUGCUAUCGCUGAAGGAUGAGCCUGCGGGCCAUUAGCUUGUUGGUGGGGUAACGGCUUACCAAGGCCCUGAUGGCUAGCCGGUCUGAGAGGACGAUCGGCCACACUGGAACUGAGACACGGUCCAGACUCCUACGGGAGGCAGCAGUAGGGAAUAUUGCGCAAUGGAGGAAACUCUGACGCAGCAAUGCCGCAUGAGUGAGGAAGGUUUUCGGAUUGUAAAGCUCUGUCAGUGGGGACAAAUAUGGUUAGGAUUAAUACUCCUAACAAUUGAUGGUACUCACAAAGGAAGCACCGGCUAACUUCGUGCCAGCAGCCGCGGUAAUACGAAGGGUGCAAGCGUUGUUCGGAUUUAUUGGGCGUAAAGCGCGCGCAGGCGGAUUUAUAAGUCAGGUGUGAAAUCUCGGGGCUCAACCCCGAAACUGCGCCUGAAACUGUGGAUCUAGAAUCUCGGAGAGGGAAGGGGAAUUUCACAUGUAGGGGUAAAAUCCGUAGAGAUGUGAAGGAACACCAGAGGCGAAGGCGCCUUCCUGGACGAAUUAUUGACGCUGAGGCGCGAAAGCGUGGGGAGCAAACAGGAUUAGAUACCCUGGUAGUCCACGCUGUAAACGAUGAGCACUAGUCAUGGGGAGAUUGACCCUCUCUGUGACGAAGCUAACGCAUUAAGUGCUCCGCCUGGGGAGUACGGUCGCAAGACUAAAACUCAAAGGAAUUGACGGGGGCCCGCACAAGCGGUGGAUUAUGUGGUUUAAUUCGAAGCAACGCGAAUAACCUUACCUGGGCAUGAAAUCCUGAGAAUCUGCUAGAGAUAGCGGAGUGCCUUUCGAGGAAUUCAGUGACAGGUGCUGCAUGGCUGUCGUCAGCUCGUGUUGUGAAAUGUUGGGUUAAGUCUCGCAACGAGCGCAACCCCUAUUCUUAGUUGCCAGUAUAAGUUGGGCACUCUAAGGAGACUGCCCGGGCUAACCGGGAGGAAGGUGGGGAUGACGUCAGUCCUCAUGGCCCUAUGUCCAGGCUACCCCGUAAACAUGGUCAACAAGGAUGCGACUCCGAGGGGACAAUCUCAAAAUGAUCUCAUCGAUGAUCUGCACUCACUCAUGAGUGGAUCCUAUAUCCGGACACUGCCGGAUCUUCGGCUGACACGCGUCACCAUGGGAUGUCACUGAGCGACUACUUUGAUGGAGCUCCAGUGAUAUACUGGGGGACUGACAGAUGCUGAUCUAGAAUCGGCCGCGGCGACACUAGGAGAUCACGCUGUGAUAUUGAAUU
rnacentral:rRNA from 1 species